rnacentral:rRNA from 1 species
CGAACGCUGGCGGCGUGCUUAACACAUGCAAGUCGAACGAGAAAGAUUUCUUCGGAAAUUGAGUAGAGUGGCGCACGGGUGAGUAACGCGUAGGUAAUCUACCCUUAUAUUUGGGAUAACAUUGGGAAACUGGUGCUAAUACCGAAUGGUCUUCAUUGCUUUGGGGCGAUGGAGUAAAGGUGGCCUCUUCAUGAAAGCUACCGUGUAGGGAUGAGCCUGCGUACCAUUAGCUAGUAGGUGGGGUAAUGGCCCACCUAGGCUACGAUGGUUAGCGGGUCUGAGAGGAUGAUCCGCCACACUGGAACUGGAACACGGACCAGACUCCUACGGGAGGCAGCAGUGAGGAAUAUUGCGCAAUGGGGGAAACCCUGACGCAGCGACGCCGCGUGAGUGAGGAAGGUUUUCGGAUCGUAAAGCUCUGUCAGAAGGGAAGAAGUGUUAUGUGGUUAAUACCCAUGUAAUUUGACGGUACCUUCAGAGGAAGCACCGGCUAACUCC